rnacentral:rRNA from 1 species
CCCUUAGAUGCUCUGGGCCGCACGCGCGCUACACUGGUCGAUGCAACGAGUUUCUUUCCUUGGCCGACAGGCCUGGGCAAUCUUUGAACAUCGAUCGUGAUCGGGAUAGAUUCUUGUAAUUUUUGAUCUUAAACGAGGAAUUCCUAGUAAACGCAAGUCAUCAGCUUGCAUUGAUUACGUCCCUGCCCUUUGUACACACCGCCCGUCGCACCUACCGACUGAAUGGUCCGGUGAAAUCUCCGGACUGGCGUGAGUCGGAGCAAUCUGACAAACGCCGGAAAGUUGAUUAAACCUUACCAUUUAGAGGAAGGUGAAGUCGUAACA